rnacentral:rRNA from 1 species
UGGGGAAUAUUGCACAAUGGGGGAAACCCUGAUGCAGCGACGCCGCGUGAACGAAGAAGAUAUUCGUAUCGUAAAGUUCUGUCCUAUGGGAAGAUAAUGACAGUACCAUAGAAGAAAGCUCCGGCUAAAUACGUGCGAGCAGCCGCGGUAAUACGUAUGGAGCGAGCGUUGUCCGGAAUUAUUGGGCGUAAAGGGUACGCAGGCGGUUUAAUAAGUCGAAUGUUAAAGAUCGGGGCUCAACCCCGCAAAGCAUUGGAAACUGAUAAACUUGAGUAGUGGAGAGGAAAGUGGAAUUCCUAGUGUAGUGGUGAAAUACGUAGAUAUUAGGAGGAAUACCAGUAGCGAAGGCGACUUUCUGGACACAAACUGACGCUGAGGUACGAAAGCGUGGGGAGCAAACAGG